UGCGCAGGCGGUCAAGUGUGUGAGGCGUGAAAGCCCGGGGCUUAACCCCGGAAUUGCACCUCAAACUGCAUGACUAGAGUACUGGAGAGGGUAACGGAAUUCACGGUGUAGCAGUGAAAUGCGUAGAUAUCGUGAGGAACACCAGAGGCGAAGGCGGUUACCUGGACAGUUACUGACGCUCAGGCACGAAAGCGUGGGGAGCAAAAGGGAUUAGAUACCCCUGUAGUCCACGCCCUAAACGGUGCACACUAGGUCUUGGCGGAUUCGACCCCAUCAGGGCCCAAGCUAACGCGUUAAGUGUGCCGCCUGAGGACUACGGCCGCAAGGCUAAA
rnacentral:rRNA from 1 species